rnacentral:lncRNA from 1 species
GGACAUCAGCGGAGGCCGCGUGGUCGUCGAUAUCAACUACUACCCGCCUAGCCCGAACCCGAGCAGGACGUUGGGCCUGCCGCCACACUGUGACCGGGACCUUAUGACCGUCCUCCUCCCCGGGGCCGUUCCUGGCCUCGAGAUCGCCUACAAGGGCGGCUGGAUCAAGGUCCAGCCCGUGCCAAACUCCUUGGUUAUCAACUUCGGCCUACAGCUCGAGGUGACUUUUUUGCAUCGUCGUUAAGUGUAAUUACUAGUACUGAAUAUCCAGUAAUAAUAUAAUUCAGAUUGCUCAUUUCUUGGUUUUGCACGUAUAUACACACUAUAUUCAUGCAUGCAGGUCGUGACCAACGGGUAUCUGAAGGCUGUCGAGCACCGCGCGGCCACCAACUUUGCCGAGCCCCGGCUGUCAGUGGCCUCGUUCAUUGUGCCGGCGGACGACUGCGUCGUCGGCCCUGCGGAGGAGUUCGUCAGCGAGGACAACCCGCCACGCUACCGCACCCUAACCGUCGGCGAGUUCAAGCGCAAGCACAACGUUGUCAAUCUGGAUUCCUCAAUCAAUCAGAUCAUUAACAUCAAUAACAACCAGAAGGGAAUAUGAAGCAGAAACAGGAGAAAGAGGAUUUGCAUCACUUCCUCGAUCGUUCGAGAAAGGCCAAGUGAUGCCAAGUUUUAUUCCAAUGUCUCUCAAGUCGCGACGGGUGUCAGUUACAUCUAGCUGAUACGAGAUAUUUAGUCGUGACAUGUGAUGAGAUCGUACGUACCUGUCGUACGUGUUGGUGAUACCAAGCAAUACAAAU